UGAAGGUUUCAUUGGGUGUCCAUACCCUCUUAUCUGGCUUGGAGGGAUCCAAACAAACCUGAUUAAGACAACCAAGCAAGACAGAAAGAGAUUCAAUUUCAUCAUCCCUAAGUCCUCUACGAAACCCAAAAUCCCAAGUAGGAUCUAAGGGUGUUCCCAAAGGUGAGACAAAUUUUGAGACCACCUCUUUUUUGUACAAAGAAACA